rnacentral:tRNA from 1 species
UGUCCGGUGGUGUAAUGGCAGCACUGCGCUCUUUGGAAGCGUAAGACAAGGUUCGAGUCCUUGCCGGACAA